UUAAGUUAUUAAGGGCGCACGGUGGAUGCCUUGGCACUAGAAGCCGAUGAAGGACGUUACUAACGACGAUAUGCUUUGGGGAGCUGUAAGUAAGCUUUGAUCCAGAGAUUUCCGAAUGGGGAAACCCAACAUGAGUUAUGUCAUGUUAUCGAUAUGUGAAUACAUAGCAUAUCAGAAGGCACACCCGGAGAACUGAAACAUCUUAGUACCCGGAGGAAGAGAAAGAAAAUUCGAUUCCCUUAGUAGCGGCGAGCGAAACGGGAAGAGCCCAAACCAACAAGCUUGCUUGUUGGGGUUGUAGGACACUCUAUACGGAGUUACAAAGGACGACAUUAGACGAAUCAUCUGGAAAGAUGAAUCAAAGAAGGUAAUAAUCCUGUAGUCGAAAAUGUUGUCUCUCUUGAGUGGAUCCUGAGUACGACGGAGCACGUGAAAUUCCGUCGGAAUCUGGGAGGACCAUCUCCUAAGGCUAAAUACUCUCUAGUGACCGAUAGUGAACCAGUACCGUGAGGGAAAGGUGAAAAGCACCCCGGAAGGGGAGUGAAAUAGAACCUGAAACCGUGUGCUUACAAGUAGUCAGAGCCCGUUAAUGGGUGAUGGCGUGCCUUUUGUAGAAUGAACCGGCGAGUUACGAUUUGAUGCAAGGUUAAGCAGUAAAUGUGGAGCCGUAGCGAAAGCGAGUCUGAAUAGGGCGUUUAGUAUUUGGUCGUAGACCCGAAACCAGGUGAUCUACCCUUGGUCAGGUUGAAGUUCAGGUAACACUGAAUGGAGGACCGAACCGACUUACGUUGAAAAGUGAGCGGAUGAACUGAGGGUAGCGGAGAAAUUCCAAUCGAACCUGGAGAUAGCUGGUUCUCUCCGAAAUAGCUUUAGGGCUAGCCUCAAGUGAUGAUUAUUGGAGGUAGAGCACUGUUUGGACGAGGGGCCCCUCUCGGGUUACCGAAUUCAGACAAACUCCGAAUGCCAAUUAAUUUAACUUGGGAGUCAGAACAUGGGUGAUAAGGUCCGUGUUCGAAAGGGAAACAGCCCAGACCACCAGCUAAGGUCCCAAAAUAUAUGUUAAGUGGAAAAGGAUGUGGCGUUGCCCAGACAACUAGGAUGUUGGCUUAGAAGCAGCCAUCAUUUAAAGAGUGCGUAAUAGCUCACUAGUCGAGUGACACUGCGCCGAAAAUGUACCGGGGCUAAACAUAUUACCGAAGCUGUGGAUUGUCCUUUGGACAAUGGUAGGAGAGCGUUCUAAGGGCGUUGAAGCAUGAUCGUAAGGACAUGUGGAGCGCUUAGAAGUGAGAAUGCCGGUGUGAGUAGCGAAAGACGGGUGAGAAUCCCGUCCACCGAUUGACUAAGGUUUCCAGAGGAAGGCUCGUCCGCUCUGGGUUAGUCGGGUCCUAAGCUGAGGCCGACAGGCGUAGGCGAUGGAUAACAGGUUGAUAUUCCUGUACCACCUAUAAUCGUUUUAAUCGAUGGGGGGGACGCAGUAGGAUAGGCGAAGCGUGCGAUUGGAUUGCACGUCUAAGCAGUAAGGCUGAGUAUUAGGCAAAUCCGGUACUCGUUAAGGCUGAGCUGUGAUGGGGAGAAGACAUUGUGUCUUCGAGUCGUUGAUUUCACACUGCCGAGAAAAGCCUCUAGAUAGAAAAUAGGUGCCCGUACCGCAAACCGACACAGGUAGUCAAGAUGAGAAUUCUAAGGUGAGCGAGCGAACUCUCGUUAAGGAACUCGGCAAAAUGACCCCGUAACUUCGGGAGAAGGGGUGCUCUUUAGGGUUAACGCCCAGAAGAGCCGCAGUGAAUAGGCCCAAGCGACUGUUUAUCAAAAACACAGGUCUCUGCUAAACCGUAAGGUGAUGUAUAGGGGCUGACGCCUGCCCGGUGCUGGAAGGUUAAGAGGAGUGGUUAGCUUCUGCGAAGCUACGAAUCGAAGCCCCAGUAAACGGCGGCCGUAACUAUAACGGUCCUAAGGUAGCGAAAUUCCUUGUCGGGUAAGUUCCGACCCGCACGAAAGGCGUAACGAUUUGGGCACUGUCUCAACGAGAGACUCGGUGAAAUCAUAGUACCUGUGAAGAUGCAGGUUACCCGCGACAGGACGGAAAGACCCCGUGGAGCUUUACUGUAGCCUGAUAUUGAAAUUCGGCACAGCUUGUACAGGAUAGGUAGGAGCCUUUGAAACGUGAGCGCUAGCUUACGUGGAGGCGCUGGUGGGAUACUACCCUAGCUGUGUUGGCUUUCUAACCCGCACCACUUAUCGUGGUGGGAGACAGUGUCAGGCGGGCAGUUUGACUGGGGCGGUCGCCUCCUAAAAGGUAACGGAGGCGCUCAAAGGUUCCCUCAGAAUGGUUGGAAAUCAUUCAUAGAGUGUAAAGGCAUAAGGGAGCUUGACUGCGAGACCUACAAGUCGAGCAGGGUCGAAAGACGGACUUAGUGAUCCGGUGGUUCCGCAUGGAAGGGCCAUCGCUCAACGGAUAAAAGCUACCCCGGGGAUAACAGGCUUAUCUCCCCCAAGAGUUCACAUCGACGGGGAGGUUUGGCACCUCGAUGUCGGCUCAUCGCAUCCUGGGGCUGUAGUCGGUCCCAAGGGUUGGGCUGUUCGCCCAUUAAAGCGGUACGCGAGCUGGGUUCAGAACGUCGUGAGACAGUUCGGUCCCUAUCCGUCGUGGGCGUAGGAAAUUUGAGAGGAGCUGUCCUUAGUACGAGAGGACCGGGAUGGACAUACCUCUGGUGUACCAGUUGUCGUGCCAACGGCAUAGCUGGGUAGCUAUGUGUGGACGGGAUAAGUGCUGAAAGCAUCUAAGCAUGAAGCCCCCCUCAAGAUGAGAUUUCCCAACUUCGGUUAUAAGAUCCCUCAAAGAUGAUGAGGUUAAUAGGUUCGAGGUGGAAGCAUGGUGACAUGUGGAGCUGACGAAUACUAAUCGAUCGAAGACUUAAUCAA
rnacentral:rRNA from 1 species